rnacentral:rRNA from 1 species
UUAAAACGCCCGUAGUAGGUUUAAUGGGAAUAUCCAUACAUUCCUGCUCAUUGUUGUGUGUGUAACUUGCGGGUAACACUGCGAGUGAUAGCAUACGAUGAGCCUCGCGGAGAUUGGUUUAUGCCAUGAUUCGAGGUUGUAUGGGUAUUUCUGUUCCCUGUUGUUCGCAACAGGAGGCCACUGCCUUUUGCACCUGUGAUAAAAUUGUUAUGCUUAAGGUCGGCUUUGUCAACAAGCUAGAGCAUCCUAGCAUGGGAUCGCUUGAAAGCUGUAUGUGAACAGAUGGGGGCAACCCUUGAGGGUCAUGUGCAGCGCUUGUAAUGGGGUAAGGGUGAGGUUCCGGGUACCAUGAGGCUAGAGGUGAAAUUCUGAGAACCUUAUGUGACCAACUAAUGCGAAAGCUGUCGUGAACCACCACAAACCCGUCUAUCAGGGACGAAAGUUGGGGGAUCGAAGACGAUUAGAUACCGUCGUAGUCCCAACUAUAAACGAUAUCAUCAGAAGGUUGGAGAGACACUUCAACUGAUCCCUUCAGAAUUCAAGGGAAACCGAAAGACUUUGGGUUCUGGGGGGAGUAUAGUCGCAAGACCGAAACUUAAAGGAAUUGACGGAAAGGCA